rnacentral:snRNA from 1 species
AUACUUACUUGGCACAGGAGAAUCCGUGAUCAUGAAGGCGGGCCUCCCAAGCCGAGGCUCAACCAUUGCACUGAGGUUGAGUUGAAGCUUGCGAUUACCCCAAAAGUGGGUAAGUCGGGUGCAUUAUUUUUGAUAGUGGGGAACUGCGUUCGCGCUUUUCCUCG